rnacentral:lncRNA from 1 species
AUUCACAAAAUCCUAACUUACUAAGCCAGAGGCUGAGUGCCCUGUUUCAGGUUGUAAGGGGCAGCUGCACUCUUUCAAGGCAGUGCCCCUUGGCAGCCUGUGAAGUAGGGUGCAGGCUUCCAGGAGAUGGUGUAUGCCCAGUAACGGGAAGUGGGAAGUUGAGUCUGCCCAGCUUCCACUUGCUACCCAGUGCUGUUCUCCUGCCCUGCUUCUCAGUCACCACGAACUAAGAAGUUUUGUUCUAUCAUACUCUUCUACCAUGCCAUUUCUGCCUUGAAGCAAAUCAACCAUGAAUUCCACCCUCUGAAACCAUGACACAGAUAAACCUCUCAUCCUUUAAGCGGUGGGUAUAAGAUAUUUGUCUCAGCUAUAAGAAAGCUGACUAAUGCAGAACAUUGGUACCAGAGAAGUGAAAGUCAUUGCUAUAAAUGUACUUGAUCAUAUGGUUCAGAAGCCUUUGGAACUGGUUUGUGGGAAGAGUCUUGAAAAAGCCUGGAGAAAGCCUACAAUAUUACAAGCAGAUCUUGAUGAAUGACUCUUGCUAGAGCUCAAAGAUAAGAAUGUUGGUAAUAACAUGGACAGUAUGAGAUUUCAGUUGGGAACUCUAUUGGGAAUUAGGCUAAAGGUCAUGCAUGUUAUACUCUACCACAAGUUCUCUAAUUUUGUUCAUACUCUAAGACUAAAUUUUAGGCCCAUGAGCCAAGAGAAAAAAUCAAGGCAGCCCAAUAUUCAGGCAGUGGUAUGUGUACUUCUGGUUUUUUAAUCCAGAUUUGUAGUGAGAAUCAGGAGCAAAAAACAGAUCAGAAAGUUUUGAAAAGCAUAAGUUUUGACCAGAAAAUUAGCAUAUGUAAAGUUAGCAUCAAGGAGAGUAUGGUUCCUAAAAAAAUUAAUGCUUUUUAAAAGACACCAAAUACUGUGAACUAGGACAAGAAGAAAGAUGUUUUGAGGGCACCUCAGGAACUGGCAAGACUGCAUCCAUCAUAGACUCUAAGGUACAAAAGUGUAGAUCUUUCAUUUGAAGAAAGAGACCCUGGGACCCUUUUCAAGAAGGUCCAUUUAGGAAAUUGGUUUCCCUGGAUUCAUUUCACUGUGUUCAGCCAUCCAGGCCCUCAGAGGCCACUUUAUUGCUCACAUUGGUGGCAGAUCUUGGCACUAUCCACAUAAUGCUGAUUUUUUUGGUAUACAGAAUGCUAUGGAAACAUUAAGGCUUCCACUCAGAUUUUAAAGAAAGGCCUUGAACACCAGGCAAAAAUGUGUGACAGUGUCAGUGUCCCUGCCAGAAGCUACUGAGAGCACAAUGGGUGUAGCUGUAGGAAUGAAGCCAAAGGUAUAAUGGAGACCCCAGGAAACUAGGGAUUUUAGGAGCAAGGAAAGCUGUGGCAACGAGUACAGCCAGCCCAGGAUAGAGGUCAUGUGAGCUGAAACUGGCAAAACCAUAGGGAUGGUGUUGCCCAAACCCUUUGGCACUCACAUUUCACCACCAUGUUCCCUGGAUUCCAGACGUGUAGCUAUAAGAUCUAACACUUGCCUUGCUGGUUUUCAGUCUUGCUUUGGUCCUAUUCUUCUUUAUUUCCUCCCCUUAUUCAUUUCUCUUUUUGAGAUGAGAGUGUUUACCCUGUACAGUUUUAUAUUGAGAAUAUGUAACUUGCUUUUUGAAUUUUCAGACGUUUGUAGCCAAGGGCUUACUUUGAGUCUCAGGGGAUAUUUUGAACUUAAAUUUAUGAAUAAUGCUGGAAUUGGUGAAACUUUAGGGUGGACAUUGAAGGACCCUAGUUAGUAAGACAGACUCCAUAUUGCUGCUUGACCCACCUGCCUGCCCUUUACAUGAACUCAGAAGGAGGAAGCUUAGAAACCUCCUCCCCUUAGAGUUUCUUAGAAGCAACAAUUAAUCAACUAUUGUUUUACAAAUGUUCUAAGGACAGGGUGUUCAGCUUCUGUACCUUUUGCUUGCUUUGCUAGUUCUAUCCCAUAGGGGGCCCCAGAAACUGCUGGCCUCAAAGAUGCAUAAAAUAUGUUAAUCUCCCCCAGUCAGGGCUUGAGUCUGAUGCUUGGCUCAGGUCCCAGCCAGUAAUAAACUGCUGUGUGGAUUUAAUAUCAGUCUCUGGUUGGUUCUUUCUCACUGGGUCCAACAGACAUUAUUGCAUUUUUGGUUGUAUGUGGGAUACUUACAUCAUGUUAAGUAGAUUCAUGACUUUGUGUUUAUUUGGAGAUUAAGUGUGACUUAAGAAAAUAUGUUUGGGUGUCAGGAAGGGGUGGAAUAUGAUGGUCACCAUGAACUAAGCACCUUUGCUCUGCUAUGCCCUUCCACCACAAUGUUCCUGUCUUGGGGACAGCUGGCCAUAUAUUGAACCCUUUGAAAACAAGAGCCAAUUAAACCUCUCAUCCUUUAUGUUGUAACUGUUGGGUAUUUUGUGCCAGAGAUGGUAAAGCUGAACAAUAUAGGCUAUAUAUUUAACUUUAUAAGAACAUCUAAACAAAUAUUCCAGUUGGUUAGUUGCUCUUUGUGUCUACCAGCAGCUAUUUAAUAAGCCUGAAUUAAGUUAUUUUAAAAAUGCC